rnacentral:rRNA from 1 species
GUGUCAGCCGCCGCGGUAAUACGUAGGUGGCAAGCGUUGUCCGGAAUUAUUGGGCGUAAAGCGCGCGCAGGCGGUUUCUUAAGUCUGAUGUGAAAUCCCACGGCUUAACUGUGGAGCUUCAUUGGAAACUGGGAGACUUGAGUGCAGGAGAGGAAAGUGGAAUUCCUAGUGUAGCGGUGAAAUGCGUAGAGAUUUGGAGGAACACCAGUGGCGAAGGCGACUUUCUGGACUGAAACUGACGCUGAGGCGCGA